rnacentral:rRNA from 1 species
UACGUAGGAGGCGAGCGUUGUCCGGAGUUACUGGGCGUAAAGGGUGCGCAGGCGGCGUCACGCGUGGAUAGUUGAAAUCUCCUGGCUUACCUGGGAGGGUGGUAUCCAGACGGUGGCGCUUGAGGGUCGGAGAGGGGCGUGGAAUUCCGGGUGGAGCGGUGAAAUGCGUAGAUAUUGGAAAGACCACCGAUGGCGAAGGCACUCUACUGGGCCAUUACUGACACUGAGAGACGAAAGCUAGGGGAGCAAAUGGG